rnacentral:rRNA from 1 species
UGGGGAAUAUUGGACAAUGGGCGAAAGCCUGAUCCAGCCAUGCCGCGUGCAGGACGAAGGCCUUCGGGUUGUAAACUGCUUUUGUACGGAACGAAACGGUCUCUUCUAAUACAAGGGGCUAAUGACGGUACCGUAAGAAUAAGCACCGGCUAACUACGUGCCAGCAGCCGCGGUAAUACGUAGGGUGCGAGCGUUAAUCGGAAUUACUGGGCGUAAAGCGUGCGCAGGCGGUUAUAUAAGACAGAUGUGAAAUCCCCGGGCUCAACCUGGGACCUGCAUUUGUGACUGUAUAGCUAGAGUACGGUAGAGGGGGAUGGAAUUCCGCGUGUAGCAGUGAAAUGCGUAGAUAUGCGGAGGAACACCGAUGGCGAAGGCAAUCCCCUGGACCUGUACUGACGCUGAGGCACGAAAGCGUGGGUAGCAAACAGGAUUAGAUACCCCCGUAGUCCCUGAGCGGGCUGGCAAGGCGCAU